GGGGAGGAGGGAGGGAAAGUGGAUCAACAUCACCGAAGGAGGACAGCGAGCAAGAUUAGGGCUGGCUAAUGAUAAAUGAGAAGGCGCCGCUGACAGCUCCGCGCUCCGCGCAGCGCCCGCCCGGCUGCUCCGCGCUCCCUCCGCACCCUCCGGCCGCCCGCUCCUCUCCAACCCGCCGGCCUGGCUCCAGCCCCCCCCUCCUCCCCCCUUUCCUUUUCUUUUCUCUAUAUAUAUAUUUUAUAUAUAUAUAUAUUUAUAUAUAUAUAUCAUUUCCACCUCCCUCCGCAUAGCGCGGGGGGGCCGCAUCCCACACCCCGCCUCCCCGAGCAUCCUCCGCGGGAUUACGCGCUCCGCACCGGCUGCAGGACGGAGGGACCACGGCGGGGCUGCCGCAGGGGCUCCGCGCACGGACCCUCACCUAUGGAAUGGUGCCCUUGGGAACACUGACAGCGGCUCGGGGUCCCUGGGACGCCUCUUUGCUCCCCCCCGCGGGGUGCUGCAGGUAUUUCGGGACAGCCCUCCCUGGGCUCUCCUCCCGCCGGGUGCGGAUGCCGCAAGGAGCCCGUCGGGUCGUGCCGUGCCAAUAAAGCUCUUUCCUCGCGGGUUCCCGCA